CGCCAGUAUCUGCUUGAACGUAGGAUGAAGUGCCCUCUUCCUCCUUGCUGUUACAGCCAGGAUAGCGCGUGGUGCGGCAGCCUUCAAAAACCACUCUCGAGGCUGGUUGUGGCGGUGACACACGCCGCCGGCAAUCCCAGCACUCUGGGAGCCUGAGGCGGGAGGAUGUCAAGUUCAAGCUCAGCCUGAGCGGCUAAGACAAUAAAAAAAGGGCUGGGGAUGUAGCUCAGUGUGAAAGCCCGGGGUUCAGCUCCCAGUACCACAGAAACAAAACUAUUUUUGAUUUAAAAAAAUAAAUUUGCUUUGAGAAAAAAUACUAAGCAGAGAGUAAGGGAGGAGAGAGCCUGCACUGACUCUCUGGAAAGCUCUGGGAGGAGGGACACUGGAGUGCUGGGCAGAGCAACGGCCCUGGGGGAACCAGAUGUUUUCACGGGGUGGCUCCUCAGCACCUUGGGCCUCCAUCUCCUCGCGAAGUGGAGAGCAGGUGAGGGUGAGAAUCCGGGGAGGUUUAAGCAAGUUUCGCUGAGCCCAGGGCGUUGUGGCACCUGGAUUAACUCAAGGACAGGAGGGGAGCACCUGCGCCCUGGAGCGGAAGAGGAAGAGGGGGAUGCACGGGCUCUGGUUAGCAGCGUGCGAGCUCCGCUUCUCCGCUUCCGUGGCGGCAGGGGAGGCGGCGUCUUGGGGGAAGGUGGAUGGGCGCCCCACACCACCUCCGCUACUCUCAGUCCAAAGGUACCCCAACGCUGAGCUGACUGUAAACGGUCCACAGGGACAGAGGUGAAGGGCGGAGUUGACCCCGGAAGGGGGGCGGUGUUAAAGCCAGCCGAGGAAAUUAAAGGAAGGCCGGAGGGGAGGGGAGGGGGAGGGGAGGAGAGGCCAAGCCUGGGAAGGCGGAAGGGCGCUCCUCGCCGCCGGGGAUGCGGGGGAUGCGGGGGGAUGCGCUGCUUCUCCAGUUCCCGGGACGGGAUGUGGCAUGUUUGGAGGACCCUGGUAGCCGGGAGGAUGUGGCCUCAUCUGUUCACCCAGCACACCCCCUGGCACGGCACGGUGCCCUGCAUACAGGAGGCGCUCAAUAAUUGCUGGCCGAGUAACCGGAUGACAUGAGGUAAGGGUGGCGCGCAGGGAGCCAGCUCAGGGGACAGCACCCAGGCCUGGCCAGGGAGGAGACCCUGGUCUGGGAGCCAGAGUGGCCUGGGCGGGGCCUUUGCCCAGGUGUCCCCUCCACCUGGCUCCCCGUGUGUCGUUCUCUGGGUCGGUCUGUGACCAUCGGUGAGGAGCGGCACCCAGGGACCUGCCUGAGAGCCGCGGCGCACAGGAGCAUUCCUGGGCUGACACCCGCGGGCUUCACUGCUCAGAGUCUGGGGGCCCAAUCCCAAGGCCUCACCUCACCUGCCGCCCACCCCACCCAUCACCUGUCCCUCUGGGCCGUGGCAAGGGAUAAGGUGACGCGGGCCUUCGCUCGUGUGUCCAGCCUGGUGUCAGGAAGGGAGCGCCCCCCGGAGACCCGGAGCCAGUGUGGCCCGCGCUGCUGGGCCGGGCCGCUCAGAUCACCUGGUCCGCGGCACGGCCCGGGCCGGAGCACAAAACCGCGCCCUUUGCCCGGUGCCCUGCGGCUCCGCCCAGAGAAAGCAGGCGGGAGACGGGUCCUGCAGCGCGGCUGGGCUGGACAGGGACGUGGCCCGGCUGCCACCAGCGGGGACUCAGAAGUUCACGCGGACCUCUGAGAGCUACACUAGCCCGGGAAAGGCAUGCGAAAUUGGGCCAUUUCUGUAAAAAUGAAGCCGCACGUGCCGAGAAGGGCCCUGAAGAGCGGAGAAGGCAAAGCGCUGACUGUCACCUCCUGCGGGAACUCGUGGGGGCGGGCAGGGCCCGG
ensembl:lncRNA